rnacentral:rRNA from 1 species
AUUGAACGCUGGCGGCAGGCCUAACACAUGCAAGUCGAGCGGAUGAAGGGAGCUUGCUCCUGGAUUCAGCGGCGGACGGGUGAGUAAUGCCUAGGAAUCUGCCUGGUAGUGGGGGAUAACGUCCGGAAACGGGCGCUAAUACCGCAUACGUCCUGAGGGAGAAAGUGGGGGAUCUUCGGACCUCACGCUAUCAGAUGAGCCUAGGUCGGAUUAGCUAGUUGGUGGGGUAAAGGCCUACCAAGGCGACGAUCCGUAACUGGUCUGAGAGGAUGAUCAGUCACAGUGGAGAGGAGACGCGGCCAAGACUCCGCGGGGAGGAGGCGGGGGGGAAGUGGGGACAAGGGGCGAAAGCUUUACCCAGCCUGGCGGGGUGGGGGAAGAAGGUUUUUGGAUGGUAAACAAUUUUAAUGUGGGAGAAGGGGAAGUAAUUUAUUACUUUGUUUUUGGGACGUCCAAAAAAAAAGAACCACCGCCAAACUUGGUC